AUUCCUUUGGCGCAAAGGAUAGCGUAUUGGAUUUUCAAUCUAAAGAUCACAGGUUCGAUUCUGACAAGAAACG
rnacentral:tRNA from 1 species